AACUGUUUUGCACCUGGGAAAACUUCAAGGUGGUUUUAGUUACACAUUAAACCGUAGAUAUUUGUUUUUCUCUGCAGGGCACUUAAGAACUGCACUGUAACAAAUGGCUGUAAAAACUAAAACAUGAAAAUACAGUAAGGUGGCUGGGUUUUGAAAAUACAGCUUUUUAUUGUGAUCUGAAAUGCGAAUGGAAAGUAUAUCGGACGUGACUGGACCGCUGGGUCGCGUGCGGAAAUGUACACCUGCACUGUAAAAUUUUAAUGUACAGUUGCAUUGUGGGAUUUUUACCUGCUGGAGGCGAACGUUCACAGGCUGGAGGGUGGGGCCAACAAUGACUUUCACCAGAAACAGCAUCAAGGGCACAAGCGGGUCCAGCAGCUCCUUUUUGACACUUAGAGUAUUGUUUCAUAGGCGAUUCAUAGGCCUCAACCCAGAAACAAGAACAAAAGCUUCAAACAGAAAAGUGACAUCAAAACCAACAGGACGACUUAUGCAAAACACAGCAGUGAACCCACAUGUCUCCAUUCUCCUCCUUCAUGAACCAGUGGAACUUUUGAAAUGGUAAAAUUACACAUUUACACACAAUCAGUUCUCUCAUUCCAUCUGUCUGUC